CAGCAAAUCAUUUCUCAUUGCACUCACAUUGUGAAGAUCUUGGUGUAGGUGUACAGCCCUCCCAUCUCGCAAAUACUGGUUACUUUGAGACAGCUGCAUAAUGAAAAGCAAGUAACUUUAUUCCUUCCUCUUCACUUGUUUGCAUUUCAGUAGCAGCAAAAAUGCAAAAGACGCUCCAACCAGGCUCCACAUUCUGUUUUGGGGCAGUUUUCACCCAAUCCUGCUAUCUCCUGCCCAUCCCCACAGCUUCACACUCCACACUUCAGAAAAAAACCCCACUUUCCUGGUGCCCCUUGCUGCCAAGGCAUCCCUGUGGUGGCAGAGGACUUGGGUCUACCCCAAACUUUAAUGCUCUGGGCGAGCAUGUGGCCUCCACACCUGAAGCACAGCAGUGCCUCAAAGAGGGGCUGUGCCACUCUCCCUGUCCAUGUCAGAAAUUAAGUUCAGCUUCACCCUUGCCAAGGUGGGGAAAAAAGCUUUAGGGAAUAAGGCGAGGAAGCAGCAAGUUGGAGGAGGCACACAGAGACACCACCACUACCACCUCCCCACCUCUGCCUAACCUGGUGUUUCAGGCCAGCUCCAGCUAUUGCUGCCAUGGAUGUUAGUGUGGGAAAGAAUGGCGGCAGGAAGAGGGAAAGGGAAUUGCCAGCAAGGAGCUCAUUUCAGCUGGCCUGCAGGGUGUUAUGCUGUCCACGGCAGGAAGAACAGGGGAAUUCCCAACUUAGCAAUAGUCAUUGUCAAAUUGAGGUAGAAGGAGAAAAGGGCUGGGCACAGCAGUUAUACCCUUCCAUGGCUGAGAACCAAGUGCUUUCUAAGUCAUCUGUUUUUUAAGUUAUUAGUCACCAUCACUUCCUAGCCACAUAAACUCAUCCCGUUUGAUUUUAAACCUCCUGACAGGUCCCCGGGCCACUUGGACGCGAGCUUCCCAUCGGUCUCACGAGAGGAGAGGCGAUUCAGAAAGCACCACCGCAGCAGGACUUAGGAAGAUGUGGAUGCUUUGCUUCACUGCAAUUCCUUGGCCUCGAGAGCUGGAUGCACAACACAGAUGAUUCUUUGGCUCAUUGUCCUGGGUUUUUUUAUAGGAAGGCAUAUAAAAUGCAGCUAAGGCAGCUCUGACAAGCUAAAACAAAGGAUUUUUUUCUUUUUUUGACACAUGCAUGUGGCUUUUGAAUACAUCCUGAAGUUUGUGGCUAUAAAUAUUUUUGCAAGAAGGAAACUAUGGUAGCAGAAACCUACUUAAUUUAUAAAAAAAAAGACUGGUACACUACAUGCUGAGAGGAUGCUCACCAAUGUGACCAUGGGGCUACCAUUAAUUGAAAAAGAAUCCUGACCCUGCCUAUGCAGGAAAAUCAGCAUUUUCUGCUGUCUUCAUUUGCUGCGUUGAGGAACUGCACCUGGGAGACAAGCAGCAUUUCAAAGGGGCCCGGCUACCAGAAAAUGGUGGUCAAAAUGAACAGGAGUUUUCAGCUGCAAUCAUCUCCAGCUAAAAUUCAGAUCAACAGAAGGAAGAGAAACUGUGAUCCAUUGGCACAGACAAACUCCAGCUUGCACAUCAUCCUCCAGCAGAGCUAAGGCAGAGAAUAAGUCACCACAAACCCACAAGAAGAGCCACGCCCAUUUCAUAACCUAUAAUUUUUAAAUAUAACAUUUUAUUGCUUAGAUGGUUUGAUACAGAACAAGUUUUACUUUUUAUUUUGAAUUUGGAAGUACUGUACAACUGAAAAAAGAGGAAUAAAAGUACCAAAACUA